rnacentral:rRNA from 1 species
UACGAAGGGGGCUAGCGUUGCUCGGAAUCACUGGGCGUAAAGCGUGCGUAGGUGGUUUGUUAAGUCUGAUGUGAAAGCCCUGGGCUCAACCUGGGAACGGCAUUGGAAACUGGCUUACUAGAGUGCGGUAGAGGGGUGUGGAAUUCCCGGUGUAGCAGUGAAAUGCGUAGAUAUCGGGAGGAACAUCUGUGGCGAAGGCAGCACUCUGGGACGUGACUGACGCUGAGACGCGAAAGCGUGGGGAGCAAACAGG